AACGAACGCUGGCGGCAGGCUUAACACAUGCAAGUCGAACGCCCCGCAAGGGGAGUGGCAGACGGGUGAGUAACGCGUGGGAAUCUACCUAGAACUACGGAACAACUGAGGGAAACUUCAGCUAAUACCGUAUACGCCCUACGGGGGAAAGAUUUAUCGGUUCUAGAUGAGCCCGCGUAAGAUUAGCUAGUUGGUGGGGUAAUGGCCUACCAAGGCGACGAUCUUUAGCUGGUCUGAGAGGAUGAUCAGCCACACUGGGACUGAGACACGGCCCAGACUCCUACGGGAGGCAGCAGUGGGGAAUAUUGGACAAUGGGCGAAAGCCUGAUCCAGCCAUGCCGCGUGAGUGAUGAAGGCCUUAGGGUUGUAAAGCUCUUUCAGUGGGGAAGAUAAUGACGGUACCCACAGAAGAAGCCCCGGCUAACUUCGUGCCAGCCGCCGCGGUAACAC
rnacentral:rRNA from 1 species